rnacentral:rRNA from 1 species
UACGUAGGGUGCGAGCGUUAAUCGGAAUUACUGGGCGUAAAGCGUGCGCAGGCGGUCUGUUAAGACCGAUGUGAAAUCCCCGGGCUUAACCUGGGAACUGCGUUUGAAACUACAAGGCUAGAGUGUGGCAGAGGGGGGUGGAAUUCCACGUGUAGCAGUGAAAUGCGUAGAGAUGUGGAGGAACACCGAUGGCGAAGGCAGCCCCCUGGGUUAACACUGACGCUCAGGCACGAAAGCGUGGGGAGCAAACAGG